UCUAGCUCAGGAAAAGCAUUCUAGCUGAGGAUACAAAAGGCAAGAGGAAGAUAAGGAAAGAGAGAAAAUUUCAAGCCAAGAUCCCACUGUCCAUGCAGCGUCUUGUACAUAACUAUGCUCAUAUUGAGAGUAAGACAUUAUACAACAUGUAUUCAUUCUCGGUUAUGCUUUUCUCUGUCUGCACUCCAAAGAGAACCUGUCAUUCAACAGUCAUUGGAUCAAAGGACAAAAAAAUGUCACCUCCAACUACUAUAUCCUACUAUAUCCGGUACUGUGAUGACAAUGGAUGUCGUCUUGCUUGCUACACAAUGCGAUGAAGUACUACAGCAGCACAAUAACCAUGAAACCAGUCUUCAUUUCCUUCUUUGACAGCAAGCAUGCUUUUCAAAGAAUGAAUCUCUAAGUGGUGAGUCUUUGAGGACUGUUCUUAAAUGAAAGGAAAAAGGUUGCUUCAU
rnacentral:lncRNA from 1 species